rnacentral:rRNA from 1 species
AGCUCCAAUAGCGUAUAUUAAAGUUGCUGCAGUUAAAAAGCUCGUAGUUGCAUUUCCGAGGCAAGGGAUUAGUCCGACCUUUGGUGGGUAUUUAAUCCUCUUGCCUCGUCCUUGAGUGGUGCUUCUUGGUAUUAAGUUAUCGAGGAGAUAGCCGCUCAUCGUUUACUGUGAGAAAAUUAGAGUGUUCAAAGCAGGCUUAUGCCGUUGAAUAUAUUAGCAUGGAAUAAUAAGAUAGGACCUAGGUAAUAUUUUGUUGGUUUGAGAACCAAGGUAAUGAUGAAUAGGGACAGUUGGGGGUAUUCGUAUUCAGUUGUCAGAGGUGAAAUUCUUAGAUUUACGGAAGACGAACUACUGCGAAAGCAUUUACCAAGGAUGUUUUCA